UCCCACAAGCAAUACUGGUUGAUGAUGAGUUAAUGUUACGAAGAAAAUGGGUCCUCAGAUGCCCUUGGGGAACGUGCAAUUCUGAUGAAAGAUAUCCUGCUGGGUUACAAGGCGCCCGGUUGAUUCAUUUUCCAAAGCCUAAAACACAGUUGACAAAGCGUCUACGAUGGAUUAAGGCUUGCGGAAGAGCGCACGUACAACAAAAUGUGAACAAUAUCAACAAACGCAAGGCUUUAUGUUCGAAGAUUUUAUGGCUGGUGCGACUGCUACUCAGGAGCGACGUAUAGUACGGAAAAUACAGUAGUUAAGCAACCAUACGUUUUCUGGCAUGUGAAAGGAAGCUAGAGCACCCAGAGGAAACCCGCCCUUCCAUCCUCUUCAGCCAAAGCGGGUUAUUAUGUAUCCUUUAAAAGAAGCACAAAUAUUCUCAUAUAGUGACGUCAUGUAUGUAGGAGAGGACUCAGAGAUCCGUACGUAACUGGAGUACUGAGGGUUAGCAGUACAGUGUUCUUUCGUUACUUACAGGGGUUAGGUUCCUUACAUCCCGUGAAUAAUGGAUGCAAUAUUAAUAUUCCCUAGUAUAAAGUAUAUUUUUGCAACCAUAGGAUCUUUGUUUUUCGCCGGGAUGAACACUGUUUAUGAGCAAGACGAAGAUCAGAUAAAGAAACAAUUUCCGGAGUACAAAUUUCACUCAAUAAUUAUGCAAGUCCACUUCUGGUGCUACGGUAGAAUCCAUACUGAUGUCUUUGGAGGACUGCCAUCUCAGCCACACCCCUUUUAACCACCUCUACAUUUGUAAAGGCUGCUGAUUGGUCCACGAUCAUCUUGAACCUUGGUGGGGUGGAUUUGUGCAAUGAUAAAUGCGAACUCCCCCAAAUCCAUCUUUUAAGAAGAGUAAUACAACUUUGCCAUGUGGAGUGAAGGUGGGGCCGCGUGAUGCUCAAUAAAACUGACUCAUUGAUAUUGAACACGCCUUCCCUCUCUUUAACCUUGUCAUCCAAUACGAAUGACUAAAUUGGUCAUUCUACCACAGCAAUAUGAUUCAGAAGCUGUGAUAACAUCAUGGGAAGCAGAGCAAAGCAAAUGUAUUUGUAUAGCGCAUUUCAUACACAAAGUAACUCAAUUUGCUUCACAUGAUUAAAGGCAUUUAAAAACAAAGAGAUAAAACAUUUAAAACAGAAUUAAAAACAACAAAAAAAAAGACAAACAAAAUAUUUUUGGAAAAAACACUUAAAACCACGUACAGUUCAAGUAAUGUGAUCAAAAAGUGGAUAUAUUGUAAAAAGCAUAAGAAAAACAGAAGGUUUUUCAACCAGGAUUGAAAAACACUCUUGGGGCUGACCUUAUAUGAGCUGAAGUUCAACCACUAUAUUUAUGUGUGAUUAGAAUAGGUCACUAUGAUUUCCGUUGUCCUCGAUAUAAUCAUUGUGUUAACUGUCUUUUCCAGAAGUGACUUUCUUAAAGCUUAUGAUUGGAUAAAAUAAUUAUAAAUGAGGGGUUGUACCAGCACUAUACCGCCAUUCUUUUGACAUGCACUUGACAGAAAGGUUCAUCAUCCACAACCGAAAAUUUCCAUGAUUUCAAACGGCAAGCUCCAUACAGUUCAAUUUGAAGUGUUUUUAGCUUUUAUUUUCUCAAAAGUUGCUUUAUCGACAUUCAGACAGGGGCUUCUGUGCGACGCGGGUUGCCACAGCAGCAGACAGCCAUCCUCAGACACACAGAACAGGAGUCCGGCAUAUGAAACCAUAGAAAUGACACUGACAAUAUUUAGUUUGUGUGGGUGUUCGGGAGUUAGGGGGCGGGGGGUGUGUGAUUUUUUUAUUGCUUCUAGACGAAAUUAAUUUUAUAUCUGUCGCUCUACGUGUCAAGCAGUCAGGGACGCAUUUGGCAAGACUGAGCAAUGCACAUUUUAACACCUUCACUAGCGUGGUUGGAAAAGUUGUACUUGUCAUCUGUCAAUUUCAACUGAAGUGUGACACAAAAAAAAAAGAAAAAAAUGUAACCUGAAGAUCAAACUGUGUAUCUUAAACACCACUCACCCCCACCAACAUCAAUGAUGUUGAACAUAAGUUAUUCUGGAGACAAGAAUAUACUGCUACUUGGGGGAAAAAAAAAAAACAACUUGUGCCUAAAACCAAACUAUUUCAAAGCAACAAAUGUCCUUUCAUCCAUUUCUGAAGAUAUUAUCUGAAUUCAUAUAGCAGCCUGCUUUGGUGAAUUUCCAUUACACCAGCUCCCAAAGAAAUUUAAAAUUCAUUUAAAAAAUUAAUUCAAGUCUCCCAAAGUGAUAUGUUGGAUAAUUGUAUUCACAAGCAAACCAUUUUAUCCACAUAACGAAAAGGGUCGAUUUUAAGCUUAAUAAUGAUUAACACGCACAAAUAUAGUUCAAGCAAUUGUGAAAAGCUUUUUAGUGUACAAAAUGUGCAGCAGAUGUUCCACCUUGCCCAGCUGCUUAUUAUUUCUCCUGGAAGAACAGAACCCUGGCGGACCUUUUCCUUUGACGUCACCGAUGUAUUUUUACCAUUUCACGAGUUUGACAAAUUCAUCUGAGGUCGAACACACAACGGUGAACAUAAUGGACAUAUUUUGCCCAGCCACCUUCUCAACUUGGCUGCAUCCCCUGGCUUAUUAGUCCUUAACACCGCGCAUGAUUUAUCACAAAGCACUUUGCUCUUCUAAAGCUUGUUCAUCGUGGCUUUGGAAAGGAAUACGGCUAAGCGGUCCAGUUCAGUGAGAUUCAGAUCAAUGAAUCCUGACCAGGCUUGCAGGUUUCCGCUGAGAGAUGCUGAUAGCUGCAUUUGGUACAUAAACAGCAUGACGUCAUUUCAGCCGCCCAGCUUGUCCUUUGCCAAUGAAUUUAACUAAUAGGGGAAAUGCGACAAAACGCAGUGCUAUGGACAGAAACAAGUAGACUGGAGGUAUAAUUUAAUCAUUACGUGGCAUGCUUUGUUUCCGCCUUGACACGAGCCAAUCAGGCCAGAUUACUGCUACUGGUACCCCUAAAGAAAGGGGCUUGAAAAGUGGAAAAGUCAGAUUUAUUGUCCCAAAAUAAACAGAACUGCAUUACUUAGUGGAAUCGAGGCAUUUGUAAUAUGUGGUUUAAUGUGACUUGUGUUACACCCUUUUCAGUAACAUGGUGGACUGCCUAUGUGGUACUUUGAGAAGUCCCACGAUGCCAGCUGAUCGCAGGGCACACAGACAAAAUAACAUCUAUGGACAUCUUUACAUACAUUUUUUGGAAUGACAAAGGAAGCUGGCGAAACCUACAAACCAUGGGGAGAACAGUAGUGUCUAAUGUGUGUGUGUAUUUUUAUUCUCUGUUCUCUUUAUUUUCCUAUCAUGCUUUUAAGUUGUUAUAAUGAGAGUCUUUGUGACACUGUUUCCUUUCAUACUUUUAAGUCCUUGUGAUGUGACGCGGUUUCCUCUAAUGCUCUUGAGUCCGUGUGACGCAAACGCUUUGUGUCCUUUGUGACACGGAAGUCUGAAAUGUUUCAAGGAUUACCUAUAUAAGGACGAGAAAGACGGACAAUGAGUGUUCUUCUCACAACCUCACCGCUGGUCUGGAAAACUACGCUGGCUGGAACACUAACUGCACGGACGCCUGCCGCCUUUCAUUUUUGGACCGACUGGAACUUUCGUGAACUUGGAAUACCCGCUGGGAAGAACCAUUUGUUUGCUUGGGAACACUUGUUCAACAUUGGUGACUAUUCGCCAUUGUGGCUCAACUACUCUGUUCUGGAAAGCCCAUUUUGUGUUAGCUAUUUUUUGUGUGAGAUUAAAUUGUCAGAAACGCAAUACAACUGCCUUGUCGCAUUUUGAACAAAGGGGACCUUAGUCUAAAUUCACACUUAACAAGUGCAACACUCCAAACCUUUUUUUUUUAUUUGAGCUAAACCAGAGUACCACAAUCUUCAGAUUUAUUUUUUCCAAAAGUCUGUCUCCUGGUGACAAAACACACAAAUAAAGUACAGUAUUACCUAGAGAUACAAGUUUAAUGAGUUCCGUGACGUUUGUAAUGUAAAACCGCUGCAUCUCAAAUCCUCAUUCCUCAGUGAAAUGGUAAAUUGACUGCACUUAUAUAUCGCUUUAUCUUGAGCAUCACAGGGUCCAAAGCGCUUUACAAAGCCUCACAUUCACCCACUAACACACACAUUCAUACACAAAUGGGGGACUGCUGCCAUGCAAGGCGCUGCCAGGCCCACUGGGAGCAAAUUACGCUUCAGUGUCGUGCCCAAGGACACUUCCAACAUGCAGAACAGUCAUAGUCAGAAUUCGAGCCAGUGACCCUUUGGUCACUGGACAACCUGUUCGACCUACAUAACAAUAUAUCAAUUGUACCUUGUAAAGUCCUACAUUAAUGACAUAAUUAAGUUGAAUGUAAUGAAUAAAAUAUAUCCAUCCGUC